AGCCUGAUUUCCAGCAGCUGAUGCCCAUCAGCAUUAGGGGAAGGAAUUCAUUUUUGCAGUCAAGGCUCAGGAGGAGGUGCCACAGUGUAUUUAGGGAGCCAGGUUAUGUGGUGAGUUGUGUUCCUCCUGUAGUAUAGGUCAGAGAGGGUCUGUGCUGCUGUCCCUACACCAAGCAGCUUUCCUUGGGUGAAGGUGCCUCCAGGCUCAGCUGAAACCUGCCGGGGAGCCUAAACAGAUAGAGGAGCAGCAGAGGAGAGACUAUCUUGUGUUGGACCAGAAGUGCUACCCACAGCUAGCCCAGACCUGCGGGAGAUCAUUUAGAGCAGCAGCAGGUAAAAGAGCAAGGAGAUUUUACCCCUCUCGUAUGGAUUGGAGUUGAGGUGAAUGCCUGGAGUCUGCUUGCUUUCAGCUGAGAGAGAGGACGGAGCAGCUGUACAAAGCAGCUUGCGGAGGGCUCCCUGUUGCUGUUUUGAGAAGCUGUCAGAUGAAAGGAGUGUCAAGGACCACAAAGCAAAGAGUGGAGGCCACUGAUGGAAGAAGGUCUGUAAAAUCUCAUCUACAAGUGUGGCAGAAAAGCAUUGACAGGGAAGGGCUGACCUGGGCAGCUGCUGCAGCUUAAACAAGAGAAGUGAUUCUUGAAACCAGCCAUUAGCAAGCUGCAAGUGGAAAAUUCCCUCCCAAGUCCUGGCUUUUCAGAAAGGGAGAGGUUAAAAAAACAUCUUAAAUCCUGCAAUACAAACGUGCUUAGAGCAUGUGUGUACCUGAGACAAGGAGCAGCACACAUCCCCUGCUGUGCGGUGAAGGACGAAGGUGUGCUGUGUUGUCAAGAAUAUUGCAGAACCAGCUCCCUAGAAAAGAGUGGAAAACUUCUACAUCAGUCCAUCAGCCGGGAGGUUUUAGACCACUGGUUGCCAUGUACAGAUACGUGUGACUGAAUUUGCCUGGUCCCUGACCUCCACUGAGAUGAGUGAAGAACUGGAGAUCCUUCCUGACACGUAGAGGCUCCCCAGUGCCUUCUGAUGAUUUGACAGUUUAGGCUUUUGUCCACCCAUCAGCUAAUGCAGCAACAUCGUGCCACACGUACUGUCUAUGUACAGAAAGGAAAUAAUGAAACCCCCACUGCUGGGUCUGCUGCUGCUGUUUUCUCCUCCUGAGGGGAACCCUGGGUGUUCAUAUCAAGGUGCAGCAGAAGGCAGAAAGCUCCAAGACACUUCUUCAAACACACAUAUUAAGGACAGGUUUAAAUGGAGUGGAUGUUGUCUAGUGAUUCCUUUUUGGUUCUCCAGUCACCACAUUAACUGAUCUAUAAUUGGUGUCCUGGUUGCUCCUGUGGGGGACCAACAUGGAAGCAAAGCUCUCCCAAUGCAAGCGCAAUCCAGGUGCUGAGGAUUCCCAUCUGGACAGCAGGACUGGGGCCAUAGCAGCUCCUCAGCCCAUAGGUACCUAGGGUAGAUAAACAGGGGAGAGAGGUGUAGGAAAGAAAGCAAAGAGCAAAUAGCAAAGCUUUCCUAACUGUACUAGACUUCCUUAAACAGAACAGGGAGAAGGAGACAAUAGCCAUGAUUUUAAAUCCUUAUAGCAAAAUGUGCAUAAAAUUAUAUACAUUUGCGUUUUUCCCAGUAAAAUUAUUUUGAGGAAACACGUUAAUACCUUCUGUAACAUAUGUCAAAGUUGCUGAUCAAAGCAAGCCCUUUCACAGUUUUCUGUGUGUAACUAGGUGGAGUUCCAGCUAUUUAUUUUUAUCUUUAAAAUCCCACCUGUCUUGUGAUUUGGCCAUAAGACUGACGGAUGCCCUUUCUCACCAGGCUGCUGAAAUCAGCAGAAUCCUCUAACUGAGCUUUGCUUAGUUCUUUUCCUAAGAAAAUUUAAAUAAGUUCUCCAUCUCACUGCAAAGGAGGCACAAUCUGCACCAAACGGUCCUGCCCUGGAGGUUUCUGCAGCUAUUGACUCUAUUUCACCUGUGCUUCAAAUGACUGAUUUGAAUUCACUGAAAAUUUGAAGUAUCCUGGCCGUGAAUGCAGGUGGAAAAGACUUAGUCCACAUUGUCAUCUGUUGGUUAAAGACAGACCUGAACUGUAAAAUAUGUCUCUGAAUGAGCCAUAAGUAUCCUCACCAUUUUAUCUCAAUGCCUGCUACCUGCAUACCUCACGUUAAGACCAUCUAAUAUCUGUACACCUAGAUGUCCAAAACCCAUCACAAGCUCAGAAACCUAAUAGCAGGAAAGGAGGGAGCAAGGGCUCUAUAAGGUGUCCCUGGCGCUUGCUCUUGUUGCAUCAAGCCAAGGACGUGGUUUCUGGAGUUCUUGUUGUCUGUUGUUAGAUGUAAUCCGCUCUGAAACCCAAGCCAGUUUCCAGGUCACAUUUGUGAGCAUAUCUGUCAUCUUAUCUGGAUUUUCAGGGUCUUGUAAACUGGGCAGCCAUGCUUAAUUACAAGCUCUGUUAUAAAUGUUUCUUAUUCCCCCAAAAUGAGAGAGGGGGAUUUAUUUCCAAAUAAAUCCUAAACUUUUUCUAUAUACAGCUGUAGCUGAGAAUCUCACCUCUUAUUUUCUGUCUUCUGGGAUGUGCCAGUGAGCUACUGGGAAGAUACAUUUGCUCAUUUCAUUGUUGCAAAAAUAAAAGCCUAUUUGGCUUAAUGUAUAAAAGGCCCUAUUGACACCAGAGCCUAUGCCUGAUAGAAGUCAAUUAUGUUGUACAUACCCCUUGAAAAAAAAGAAAGGUUCGUGCCUCUUUCAUAUGUAAACCGUGUAUUCCCUAAUUUAUCUUGGAAUAAAUGCUAUUAAGCAGCCUGUAAUGCAGCAGAGGAGA